GACAGAAAAAAUAUAGGAGAGAAAAAAAUGAGAGAAGCAAAAGUAACUUUUGAAGGUUUAGUUACGGAAGCCCUACCCAACGGAAUGUUCCACGUUUGGCUAGAGAAUGACACCAUCAUCCUAUAUAUUUCAGGAAAGAUACGGUCUAGUUCUAUACGAAUACUCAUGGGGGAUCGGGUCAAAAUUGAAGUAAGUCGUUAUGAUUCAAGCAAAUUUAGAACUAGUUAA
rnacentral:rRNA from 1 species